UACGUAGGUGGCAAGCGUUGUCCGGAUUUACUGGGUGUAAAGGGCGUGCAGGCGGGUAUGUAAGUCAGAUGUGAAAUUCCGAUGCUUAACAUUGGAACUGCAUUUGAAACUUCUUAUCUUGAGUGAAGAAGAGGAAAGCGGAAUUCCUAGUGUAGCGGUGAAAUGCGUAGAUAUUAGGAGGAACACCAGUGGCGAAGGCGGCUUUCUGGACUUUAACUGACGCUGAGGCGCGAAAGCGUGGGUAGCAAACAGG
rnacentral:rRNA from 1 species